rnacentral:lncRNA from 1 species
UGGCUGUGCCGCUUCUUCUUCUUCUUCUUGGCGCUUCAGCUUCCCAUCCAAACUCUAAAUCUUCUGUUUUUGUUUUUGAAUUUUAUCUUUUUUCUAAGCAAGUUCAGCUUCUUGACUGGGUGUUGAUUCAAACGACCCAGCCAAAUGAAUUACAAAUCUUGCAAAAUUCAAUUCGUCGGUAGCACUCGCCUGAAUUUGACCUCCUCCUGAUCCUUCAGGCCCUUUUACUACCGGCACAUCUUUUUCCUCUAAUUUCUUGUCCCCUUUUGGUUUUUGUUUACGAUAGUUUUUGCAAAAUAGAAUAUUGUUUAGCUAGGGUUAAGCAAACGCACUCUGUCCCAAAUCUUUCGAUGUUUUGAGGCAAUUUCUUCGUUUGCAAUAUUGAUGGAAUUCUAGUUUACUAGAAUGUCCAGCUACUCGCCCAUCUGAUCUUUUCAUUUUGAUUGGUCUUAUGGGCACAUGGUUGGAUUACAUUCUGAAUUUUUCCAUGCCAUUGCAACCUAUUUCCAGCUUUUGGGUCUUUCUUUUUUCAAGUUUUCAGAUCCAAUGGUGCAAAUACUGGGUGCUUUUCUAAAUUGUUCUUGUUUAGAGCUAGCGAACCCAAUGUUGAAGUUGUAGCUUUUCAUACCCAAAUGAAGGGACUGAAUUGCAACCAUUUUGGGAUGAAGCAUUUGACAGUUUUUGAAUUGAAGUCGUGAAAACAUAAAACAAGCACAAUAAAACAGCAAAGCAAAUUACCAAGAGACAUCUUAAUCUUCAAAUAGAUUACACAAUCAGAGUGAAUGGGAAGAGCUCCAGAUUACUUCAGUCCUUGUAAUUUGCUUGUUUUACCACUGGAGUCCAUGUAGGAUGAAACCCUAAUCCCCAAAAUUGUGCCUACAG